AGCUUUGUGCAGUGGCAGUAUCGUAUCCUGUGAGGUUUAUCCAAGGUCCGAUUAUUGCUAGUUGAAAACUAACAAUUUCUGGCAACUUUACAGGGACUAUUUACUGUAUACGUGUAAGUAUUCAGUAUGUUCUG